GGUGGUUCUUGAGUGACACACCCUGGAAUUGGGCUCCCUCCUCUCUGGUUUCGGGGUGCGUUACCCGAGAACCGCC
rfam:Myotis brandtii contig180780, whole genome shotgun sequence.